rnacentral:lncRNA from 1 species
CCGGCGAUUAAGCACUUACCAUGUGCCUCUCCUGCUUCAGGGCACCACGCCAGCCUAUAAGCAGCCGCAGGGGUUGAGCCCUGCAGAGCCCCAGAGGCAGAGCUGCCCAAGGCUUUGGGAGCCCACCUCUUGCAUCACUGUGCCCUGGAUGUGAGACGUGGAAUCAAGGAGAUUAUUUUGGAGCUUUAAGACGUAAUGGCACCCUGCUGGGUUUCAGACUUGAGUGGAGCCUGCAGCCUUUCUUUCGGCCGGUUUCUCCCUUUUGGAACGGGAGUAUUUACCCAAUGCCUGUACCCCCAUGGUGGCAGCUGAGGCUUACUACCCCAGGAAAGGGAUGCCACCAGAGAAGGCAGACAACCAAGAUGGCGACUCUCAAUUUUUGAGCUCCUAAUUUUCUCAUGUCAGACAUAAGAAAAAAAAAUAUUUUUUAAAGAAAAAGCUUUAGGUUGCAAAAAUCUAGGCCUUUCAACUUUAAAAUCCUAUUCUUGCAAGCCUUGGAGAAUAAAGCUUAUGCAUAAACAGUAGAUUUGGAAACAGAAAUAUGCCUAAUUACCCAGAGCCAUUCUUUCAAUACGCCAGUGAUUGUUUAAAGAUUCUAUAGGCUGGAGUCAAUGGCAGGAGGCGGGUGGGAAAAGAGUCAAGAGGGAGGAGAGAAGAAGCAAGAGGGUUGGGUAGAUAUUGUCACAUGACCCUGAGAGGAGGAUUCUGGGUCAAACCCCUAGGGGGUUGUGUGUAAUGGAGACUCCAGAUCCAUUUGGGAAUCUGGCUCCAAAGAAGACUUCACCUUGCCUUCUGAGUGGAGCCCUGAAGUGGCAAGACUCAUAGAAUUCCCCCACGGGUCCACACAAGAGAGAAUGAAUAGAGAAGGCUGCGUGCUGGCUGGACCAAGGCAGCCUCGGGUGACACCACCACCACCACCGCCGCUGCCGCCAUCGCCAUCACCACUGCCGCUGCCAUCACCGCCACCACCACCACCAUCACCACCACCAUCACCACAUUAUGGACAAUAGCCCAAUGUUUCCUGAGUUCCCUAGAGGGUUGAAAGAGAAUAGGACCUAGAGAGAUCACAUAGUUGGGACAGGCACUCAUUAAUUUGAUCCAAUGACAAGAGACCAGAUGGGAAGAAGGAUGCCUUGAGAGAUGUCAGUGUGCACCCAUGGAUAGAAGCAGCUGGUGACUGGGUACUUGGGAAGCCACAUGGACACACACAAAGCUCCUGGAAGACGUUUUCAAGGAGUUGGGCUGUGCUGGGAUCCAGAACUGGCUGAAGAAACCAUGAGCUGACAUAAAAUUUCUGCCACCUAGCAGAAUGGAGGCUCCAUUUGGAAAUUAAAUUAUAUACUUAAAAAAACUAUAAUUGCUUCAUUUCUUUUUUUUGAGAUGGAGUUUCACUCUUGUUGCCCAGGCUGUAGUGCAAUGGCACCAUCUCAGCUCACUGCAAACUCCGCUCCCGGGUUCAAGAGGUGAUCCUGCCUCAGCCUCCCGAGUAGCUAGGAUUACAGGUGUGCGGCCACCAUGCCCCGCUAAUUUUGUAUUUUCAGUAGAGACGGGGUUUUACCAUGUUGGUCAAGCUGGUCUCAAACUCCUGACCUCAAAUGAUCCACCCACUUUGGCCUCCCAAAGUGCCAGGAUUACAGGCAUGAGCCACUGCGUGAAGCCAAAUGCUUCAUUUCUUUUUUUCUUUUUUUUUGUUGAGAGGGAGUCUCACUCUGCCGCCCAGGCUGGAGUGCAGUGCCGCAAUCUCGGCUCACUGCAAGCUCCCGCGUUCACGCCAUUCUCCUGCCUCAGCCUCCCGAGUAGCUGGGACUACGGGCGCCCGCCACCACGCCUAGCUAAUUUUGUUUUGUACUUUUAGUAGAGCCGGGGUUUCACCGUGUUAGCCAGGACGGUCUCGAUCUCCUGACCUCGUGAUCCGCCCGCCUGGGCCUCCCAAAGUGCUGGGAUUACAGGCGUGAGCCACCGCGCCCGGCCUGCUUCAUUCCUUAUACAUCUGAGUUGGCCAUCUGAGAUUUUGUUUCUACUACACAGCACUACGGCAAGGAUUACGCGAAACCACCUAGUCCCUAGUAUGGUUCCUGCCAUGUAAUCAGGACACAGCAGAUCGCAGCUGGGUAUUUUCCAUUUUCCUCCGGAUCUGCUCUGCACCCUUCUCCACUGGCCCUCAGCUGUGGGAAGCUGACCUCAUGGACUGCAGGCCUAGAGGUAAGCAGCCCUGGACUGUUGCAGCUACUCAAGAAGGUGUGGCCUUUGCUUCCUGGCACUCAGAUGGCAGCUGACCUCUAGGAAAAGCCACACAUUUGGCCAAAAGAUGAAGUGGAAAAAAUGUACUGUUGAACAAAUAUCCAGGAUGGUUGCUCAGAAUGUAUAAAAUGAUGAACUGUGUGGAAAAAUCAUGCCUGUGGCAAAUUGUCAGCAGGCUAUAUUUGGGGGUCCGAAUGCAGGGCCCCUGCCAACUGAGUUCACAGAGCCUUAGUGUUUUUCCACUUCUAUUUAUAGCGAUGCACACAUUCACACACAAAAAAUGCAGGGGACAUUGGACUUCGUUUUUAAAUGAUGAAAAUGUUCGAAAUGUAUCUGGUUUCAGCACGUGAGAGCCGCUCUGCUGUCUACGAUCAGCCUUGCUUACUGAAGAAGGGAUUAAUCAACGUGGGGAAAACAACGUAAUAGGAUCCUUUGGGAAUCUGAAAGUCUGAAAACAACUUUUUUCUCUAUUUCCUUUUUAAAAUGUAAUUCACUUCAACAAAACUUUAUUGAGCACCAACGAUGCAAAAUGUUGAAAUGGACAUCUGAUUGUUGUCUCUCAGCCUCCAUUCCUCCUGCCCCUUUUCCAGCAGCCAUUGCUUCUAGUUGGAGAACCACGUGUUUCCAGUGAGGGAGAUUCUUCUUUCCAGCUUCAGAUGUUGAACACAAGACCUGGCUUGGCCAAUCAGGGCAAGCCAUCCCCCUGGGCACAGUGAUUGGCUCAGGCCCACCCCGAGCUGGACCAAUCAGAGUGAAGAGUGAGACUUUGGCCAGGAAUGCUGAAACAAAGACUGAGCCUUAGUGUUGGAUUUGAAGGAAGAAGCCCCAGGAGCUGCUGAGAGCUGUUUUAUAACCAUGAGCUCAAACUUUAUAGCAAGACAAAGCCAGAAUGUUCAGGUGAAGAAGCAGAGAAUGGCUGUGUGAGUUUCCUAGGCUGUCGGAACAGAGAGCCACAAACUGGGUGUCUUCAAUCCAUACAAAUGUAAUUAUCUCACAGUUCUGGAAGCUGGAAGUCUGAAAUCAAGGUGUCAGCGGGGCUAUGCUUCCUCUAAAGCCUCUAGGUAGGAAAUUCCUUGCCUCUCCAGCUUUUGGUAGAUAAGUUUUUGGCUUAUCCCAGCUUACUCCAAUCUCUGCCCUGUCUUCACAUGGCCUUCUCAUGUCUCUGUGUCCUGGCCUGUUCUUCCAAGGAUGCCAAUCAUUGGGAUUAGGGUCAGUCUAAAUCCAGGAUGAUUUCAUCGCACAACACUUGACUAAUUACAUCUACAAAGAUCCUAUUUCCA